rnacentral:lncRNA from 12 species
CGUUAGUCGGGUCAGGUGGUUUUCGAGAGAGAGCAGCCGUUCAUUCACGGCGCACUGGAUUCAAGUAACACUNUGGUCAACCUGGUUGUUGUUGUUGUAGCAUUUGUUUCUAUCAGCCCAUAUCUUGAUUAUGAGCGGAAGACAGUAACAGACCCUGACGCACAGAAUCAGGCUUACAGGAACAGGAUGGGUUUUGAAUGUGGUGGAGGGGCUUUCAAUUAAUCUGUGCAGUCAUUUUGAAAAUGAAUUGUGUUGUGUCAUAGAAUGUUUUGGAGGCUUUGAUACAAUGUGUCCUCCAAGGAAAUUGAACUAGUAUGUCACAGUUUUAUGGCUCCGCUUCCUACAGAUGCUAUUUCUGUGAAUAAGAAUUCACUGAGAAUAUACAGCUCUUAAAGGGAUAGUUCACCUAAAAAUGAUGCUUCUGUCAACAUUUACUCACCCUUGUGUCGAUCCAAAUCUGUGACUUUCUUUCCCAAAAGAAGAUAUGCAUCAAUAGGGUAUUUUUACUGAUUGCUCUUUUCCAUGAAUCCCCGCUGAGGCUUUCAAGCUUCAAACAGGAUGCACCAUGAAAGUGGUAUGUACAACAUGUGUGCUGUAUUUCAGGUCUUCUGAAGCCAUAUGAUAGCUUUGAGUGAGGAACAGAUUGAAAUUUGAGUCAUUCUUCACCUCCUGUGAGCUGUUAACGGCUGUGACGGGAUCAUUGAGUCUGUGAGCUGAACUCGAGGACCAGUUUGAUUUGUAAAUGAAUCAUUCAAACUGGUUUUGUGAACUGAAUGAACCGAUUCAUUAAAAACUAAAAAUCCAACUUAAAAAUGUAUUUGUUUUAUUAGGGGUGAAAAUUGGAUGUUUUAUCAUGAUGCCAUCUAAAAAAAAAAGAAAGAAACAGCAAGCAACACGAUAUUUGAUGAAAACAUGCUGCGUUCUGAUUUGAUGUGAUUUGAUUCGGAUUAGGGACCUGCGAUUGAUAUAUCGAUAUUGCAAUAUUAUUUUAAUUCAACAAAAUAUUACAUUUAACUGAACUCUCU